ACAGAUUUUAGAAGAUAAUAAGCCUGAAGAUAUACAGGUAAUGAUGUCUAAAACCUACCUUCUUUUCCUUUGUGUCUUUUCAUUUUUGUGAGGUUCCCAUUAAAGUGCUUACAUUCUUUGCAACAGGGAAAUCCCUCUAAUUCUAACUAAUUAAAUUAUUUAUUCCCUCAAGUCUUUUUAUUGGCUAUUGUAAACUCCCACAGCUUCUGAGUUUGUGAAACUUCCACAAUUGUUUGAGUUUGUGAAUUUUUUUUCAGAUAACAUUGUAUAAAUCUAAUUUUUUGACUUUCAGUGGAAACUCCCACAGCUUCUGAGUUUGUGAAAUUUUUUAAGUUUGUGAAACUCCCACAAUUUUUUUAGUUUGUUAUUUUUUUUUCAGAUAACAUUGUAUUUUCUAGUGAUACAGGGUUUGGUCAAAACCUCUCUCUUGAGGGCAUUGUCAAAAUUAUAUCUGAUAACAUUUUAUUUUCCAGUGAUGCAGUGUUGAUAUGAUAAAAUUGUCACUUGACUGGUUCUAUUUUUGAUUAAAUAGAAUGAUCAUUGUAAUUUUUUUCGCAGUAAAUUUUUUUUCGAUUAAAGGCAUUGUAAUUUCUUCCUUAACCUUUUAUAAUGUAUGCCCUGGAAUUUAUAUAGGUUUGGUUAAACAUCAAACACAUUCCCUUACAGUAGAUGAUCAGAAAAACUAGUAGUUGAUUGUAAUUUAUCUAUAUAGAUUUGGUUUAAUGAUUAGAAAACUGAUAGUGUAGUAUGUUUAAUACAUAUAUGGUUGAAGAUGAUCUAGCAUGCUUAAUACACCAUUGAGGGUUAUUCUUUGUUACUUUUUAAUCUGAAUGUUAUUCUCUGUUUCUUUUUUCAUUACCAAGGUGAGUUUAAUUUUGUUGUUGAUUUAGAUUUUUUUUUCCCUAUUUGUUGGUGUGCUUUUUUUUAUUUUUAUUUUUUUAAAGUACAUUAGUUAAUGACAAGGCUUUUUUUUUCCCUUUUAUUUGAUGUCCAAGUCUGAAUUUAAGACUUAUUUGUUCUAUUUUUUUUUUAUUUCAUACUUUAAUACUAAUAUAAUUUGUUAUUGACGUGAUGAACAUGAGCAUGGAAAGAAGCCUACAAAUCACCACUACAAGUGGUGAUAGUGUAGUCGGUGGUGGUGGCGGUGGUUUGUCGGUGAAGAAGAAAGGGAGGCCACGAAAGUAUGAAUCAAAUGGUAACUUAAGACUACCAUUUAUAUCAUCACCACCACCAGGUUUUUCUUUCUCACCUCCGUUUCCUUCUUCUUCUUCUUCUGAGUCCUUUUCUUCCAAAAGGGGUCGUGGCAGACCAUUUGAUUCUGGUAACUGCCAGCUGCUUGCUUCUUUAGGUUGUGGAUGAAGUCUUAACGAGGGCGAAAGAGACUGAAUGGUUCAUUGAAGGAGACUUUGAUGCGUAUGUGGAAAGAAUUCGAAAACCUUAUGUAUGGGGUGGAGAGCUUGAGUUGCUGAUGGCAUCCCAUCUUCUCAAGACUGCAAAAAAUAAUAUGUGGAAGACAGAACCUGCAAAGGAUUGAGUGGCCACUUCUUUCCACCGACAAAUCGCUUGGGCUGCUAAUGGUAUUUUUUAUUUAUUUUUUAGUAUCAAAAUGCAUCUCAAAUUGUUUAUUUUUAAUUUUUUAAUCUUUAUAUAAAUUCUAUAAAUCUGCUUUUGACUGUAGCGUAUUUUAUGAGUGUUUUGUUUUCUUUUAACUAUUCCAAAUAGUAUUUAUUUAUUUAGGAGCAAAGUUGUGUAGAGUUUCCUAUUGUCCAUAAAAAAGUUUGAUAAUCAU